UACGAAGGGGGCUAGCGUUGCUCGGAACCACUGGGCGUAAAGGGUGCGUAGGCGGGCCUUUAAGUCAGGGGUGAAAUCCUGGAGCUCAACUCCAGAACUGCCUUUGAUACUGAGGAUCUUGAGUUCGGGAGAGGUGAGUGGAACUGCGAGUGUAGAGGUGAAAUUCGUAGAUAUUCGCAAGAACACCAGUGGCGAAGGCGGCUCACUGGCCCGAUACUGACGCUGAGGCACGAAAGCGUGGGGAGCAAACAGG
rnacentral:rRNA from 1 species